GUUUAACUCUCUACUAAAUCCUAAUUUCCAAGAAGUAUGACGUGACGAUAUUCGAUUUUCGUAAAUGUUACGAGGUAUAUAUAACUGCCCCGCUUCAGUUCACACGCAUAAUAUAGUCAGUCGCUCUGAGCGAUACACCUGGUUUUACUUUCCACCCGCAGCUCAGAUACUAAAUGCCUUAGAAUGAUUGUACACAGCGAGCCCAGGGAGAUUGUCCUCCCUAGCCAUGUCAGCAUCAAUAAUGUCAGCAGUUGUUUGUUGGACAAAAAUAGUACAGAGAAAACCAUCGUGGAAACAUGUCAGAGAGCAAUUGUGAGUCUGUCUCAGUUGGAACAAGAUGAUCCAUAUUUCUCUGUUAAAAUUAUUGUACAGGCUUUAUUGAAUUUAUUCAAAGAGCAAUUGAAGACAAAUGAUCUGGAUAUAAAGCAGCACCUGCAGAACUGUAUGAUUGAGAACAUUUGCAUUUUAAUGACAUCAAGAACCAAAGAUUAUCAACUACAGCAGAUGAAUUUUCAGAUUCUGGAAAGAAGUCUUUGGUGGAAUGUAUCUAAACUUGCAGUUGAAUACCAAUCAUUACCCAAGUUGGUAAUGAAUAUAAUGCAAGAGCAUUUAACUGAUGAAAUAAUUCAAGCUUCUGGCAUGAAACUUAUGAAAUUAUUUGUAAAUAAAUCAAUACUUGUGAAUGUGGAUCAAAAGGAAGUGGCUGAACUGUCUCUGGUUUUACUAGCUGGCUUCAAGGAAUCUGUAGAUGUUCAAACUGCUGCUCUUCAAACUUUGAAUCAAUUAUUUGAAACAGAAGUUCUUCCUUUAGAUUUUUUUGUGUCAAAUCUACACAUAUUUGAUGCGUUGUGUUUCCAAAGCCUUUUAAAACAAGACAUUUUUGAAGCUGUUCUUCCCAUCUAUAGCAUCAUAUCCAGCAGUUCAGAGUAUUUGUGUCACACCUUGAUUGAAAAUAAUAUUCAUGAGCAUCUGUGUACUAUUCUCUGCAAGUAUUUGAAAAAUGAAUCUCUGUUGGAGAUGAUCAUGAAAAUGCUGGUCAACUUGGAGAAUAAAACUGUUUUUUGCUACUUGGCUGACACUGGUUUUAUAGCCAGAGACCUUUCUAAAAUCAUAAGAGAUUAUUCUGAAAACAUUUGUAUUACUAUUGAAGGGUUGAAGUUGCUUAAAAUAGCAGUGAGCUUUCAUUGUGUUGACCAAAUUGAAAAAUGGAUUUUCCCUAUUUAUAAUUCACUUUUCAAACAUAUGGUAUCAUCAAAAGUUCAGAUCACAGGUUAUAAAACUGUUGUUGAAAUAUUGAAGAAUUACCCAGAGUUUAUUAAUACCAUUGGGGAAGAUUCCACAAAGAAUCAGUAUCCAAUUCAUACAUUAUGUCUGGGAACAAUCCUGCAACAAAAUGAAGACAGCAACAUUUAUGUCACAGCUUGUGAAGCUAUUUAUUGGUUAGCAGCUGGAAAUGAUCACGUUUCAGAUCUUUUUAUGCUAAAGAACACCUAUCAGCAAAUCUUAGGGAUAAUGCAGAGUCACCAAAGCAAUGCUGCUGUGGUGCUCUCAAGCUGCAGAGCUCUGCGAGCACUUUGUUUGUUCAGACCUUAUAAUGAAAGGUUGCAGAUUACCCAAGAUACAUGUAUUAAAGAAUUAUUUGAAAACCUGUUUACAUCAUUCAUCGACAAUCCUGCAAUUUUGAUGGAAGCAAUGUGUGUACUGGCAAAUCUUUUAGAAUGCAAUACCAAAGUUCUGUCCAUAGUAAUUCACCAUAGUUUUUACAAUAUCAUAAGUGCAAUGAAACAGUUUUCUGACUAUGUUUUAAUCCAAGAAUCAGCACUGGAGGUUUUGAUUGUAGCCUCUAAGUCUGAUUGGGGCCGUUCACAAUUGCAACAAGAAGAGAUUGUGAAAUUAUUUAUUGAUAUUAUGGCAAGGUUUACUGAGAAUCUGUGUAUUCAACGGAAAGCUCUCUAUCUUCUGCAGAUGGUUUUGUCGAAAGACCUAAGUUCACAACUUUAUGUGAAAAUGGCAAAAAUCGUCAUUAAUCUCAUGUAUACUUAUCCAUUGGUAUCCAGUAUCCAAAUAGAGUGUUGUAUUUUAAUUCUACUGCAUCAAAAUCUAGAAGCUUAUCCAGACAAACAUAUAUUUAUUAAUCAAAAGUGUCAAACUCCUGUGUUUUCCAAUGCUCUCCAUUCAAAUCCCAACUCAGAACUAUUUGAUUCAGCAUGUAGGUGUUUAAAAAGUCUGUGUAGUGGAAUUAACAAGUCUGUUAUGCUUAUGUAUGCAUGUGCUGAAGGUAGAUACAUUGAAGCUGAAUGCCUUUUAAGCCUUGGUGCUGAUGUCAACUUCAAACAUAAUGCAUAUACACCCUUACUGCAUGCCUGUGGAAAUGGAGAUGAACAUAUUGUUCGUUUAAUUUUGCAGAAGCCUGUAUCUGAUAUCUUAACACCCCUUAAAUUAGCCAUUGAAAAUAAAUAUCAUACAAUUGUCGGAAUACUAUUGUCAUAUAUUGGACAACAAGAACAAGAUGGAGCAAUAUUGUGGAAUGGUCUUGGACUAGGAAGUUUCAAUUUUGAUUGGUUGAUCCCCACAUUUGUAGGUGAUCAUUACAUAAAACAUCCCUCAGCAGGAAAGGGUAAAAAGCUUGCUAGAAAAAUCCAAUCCAUUCACAAAUCUGGGAAGAAUCCAUCAUGUGGCACCUAUAACAGAUAUUUUGCUCACGAUUCUGGUAGCAGUUAUUCUUCAUCAUCAUCUGACGAAUCCAAUGGAUCUGAUAUUCAUUUCAUAGAAUGGAAAAGAACAACAUUAUCUGGGUCGACAAGUCCUUUUCACAUCAACGACCCAAGAUUUUAUACUGUUGGUUAUUGUAGAGGCAAAAGCAGUUUAUAUGUCAGCCAAUUAUCUCACGAACCAUGGCUUCGUAAAAGUUGUUUUUUAACAGAUACUUCUCUACCAGAAAUAGGUUGUUUAGCUCCAGAGGAUGCUGCUAUUUACUGUGAAAUCCAUUUGAAAUCAAAGAAAAAGAAUUUAGCUUCUCCAAUAUUAGAAGGAAAAAAAUUUCAGUUCUACAAUAUUUCUCCAGUUAAAGAGAGGGAAUUUCACUCUGAUGAAGACUGCUCAAAUUCAGAUGACUUUCAAAAACCAUUUCAUGAAAGGAAAUGUCCAAGUUUAAUAAUCAGAAGUAAGAAAAUUGUAAUGAACAGCCAUGUUGAUCAAAAGCAUUUUACACUGAAUCUUGCGGACAACAAUAUUUUGGACUUUAUCUCUACAACAUUAAGAAAUGCUGUUCAUCAAAAAUGUUUGCAGUUUCUUCAGAAACUUAACGUUUCUAACAAUCAGCUUGACACAAUUUCAGAAGAUUUGUUUAAUUUUCUGCCUGAACUGAAGGAAUUGGACAUGUCCAAUAAUAAUCUUCAAAAAUUCCCAACUACUGUUUUAAAUUGUUCCCAUUUGGAAACCCUAAAGAUGAAACACAAUAAGAUUGAAGACUUUGAAGUCAUUUCUUGUGCAACUUCUCCUGUUUUAUUUAGUUUAAAGAAAUUAAACUUAUCGGGAAAUACCCUAAAGCAGUUUCCAUCUUGGCUUACAGAACAUUUUCCUGGAUUAGAAUAUUUGUACCUCAAAAACAUGAAGAUGACUGUGAUUGAGAACAAACCGCUUCAAUUAAGAAGGCUUUUAAAACUGAAUCUAUCAGGCAAUCAAAUCACCACUAUACCUGAAUUGUUUUUUAUUGGUUGCAAUAAAUUGACCAUCUUUAAAAUGAAUGAAAAUAAUUUAGAAAAGUUACCAAGUGAAAAAGUUUUGAAUGAAUUACCAAUGCUUCAGAGUCUUCAUCUUACUCACAACAACCUUGGUACCAAAGAACCAUGGUACCUUCCUAAGUUUAUCUUGAAGCUACGCAGUCUGGUCUGUCUAGAUUUAAGGUUCAACAAUCUCACCAAUAUUUGUCCACCAGCUAUGUGGGCUUGUGAAGAACUGAAAAAAUUGUAUAUUUCUGAUAACCUUAUAUGUGAUUUAGAUUUAUCAAAAGGUGCAAAGAAUUGGAGUAACUUGGAAGUUUUGGACAUUUCUCACAAUCUCUUAUCCAAUCUUCCAAGACAAAUUGGUCACUUGAAGUCACUGCGGUCUUUGAACUUUAGCUACAAUAAAGGAAUUACUUGCCUUCCAGAUGAACUUGGAGCUUGUGACAAAAUAUGGGAGAUGCCACUGGAUGGCCUAGAGAUCUCCCUCAGUCGUACACUUAUGAAAGGAAGAGUGAGAGACAUCAUUCUGGAUCUCAGUUAUAGAUUAAAAAAUUGCCAGCGACAAUAUUCCAUGAAGAUGAUGGUGAUGGGUUAUGGUGGCCAUGGAAAAACAACACUGAUCCGAAGUCUAAUGAAAGAAAAGAAACAAGCAACUGGCACAGCAACUGUCGGUAUUGUUGUUAAAAGAUGGAUAUACAAACAUUACCGGCACAAGAAAACUGUUAACUAUUGCAUUACAACAUGGGAUUUUGCUGGCCAAGAAGAUUUUUACAGUACACACCAGUGUUUCAUCUCUCGUCAAGCCAUUUAUUUGGUUGUGUUUGAUCUUCGACAUAAACAAACAGAUAUCUUGAAAUGUUGGCUUGCCAAUAUACAAGCGCAAGCUCCAGGAUGCCCUGUUCUUGUUGUUGGCACUCAUUAUGAUUUAAUUCCUCAUGAUGAUGAAUCUAUUCAAGAAAUAAAAAAUAAAAUAUUCCAAUUCCAAAGAAUGCCACACUUUCCUAAAAUCUAUGAUGUCAUUAUGGUGGACACUCGGACAGAAAACAAAAACAUGGAACACCUCAGAAAUACCAUUAAAACUGUCAUUGAUUCCUAUAAAGUGCAUGGAGAACCUGUGAUGGGGCGAAAAGUUCCUGCUAAUUAUUUGAAACUAAGUGAGGUGGUUACAAAUACAGCUGCUACUCUGAAAAAUGAUUAUCCAGUUCUAAAUUACCAAGAAAUGAUGGCAUUACUGAAAAUGAAUCAGCUCAAUAUGAGUCAAGAAGAAUUUAAUCAGGGUGUCCAUUUUCUUGACAAUACAGGUGUACUACGGCAUUUUGAUGAAGCUGGUCACCAACUAAAAGAUCUCUACUUCAUUGAUCCAGCUUGGUUAUGUAGGAUGUUGGCACAAAUUGUCACAGUCAAGCAAAUCAAUCCUUAUGUGACUGAACAAGGAACCAUACACCAGAAACACUUAAAGAUGCUUUUUACUGGAAAAAUCAUUGAUUCAGAAUCAAACUAUGUCUUCCCUCCAAGCCAUAUUCCACAGUAUAUAAAAUUACUGGAAAAGUUUGAAAUUGCUUUACCUAAGAACCAAGAUGAGCUCCUGAUACCUUGCCGGUUGCCAACUGUACCUCCUCAAGUGAAAAUUCCCAAAUCUAAUUUUAUCUCCCGCAUUUACCGCAUGCCUCUUGCCCCAACUGGAAUAUGGAUGAGACUGUUGGCAAGGCUGAUUGCAUUCUUUCAAAAACCGACUUUAUUUUCUGCAACUGUUCCAAAAGAGAUUGAAUAUUACUGUAGAGGACUGUAUGUUUAUUGGUCAGAUGACAUGUAUUUCCAUCUUGAAAUGUAUCAUGCUGAAAAUGAUGAGAUUCACAUUAAAGUACCAGCAAGUCAUGGAUCAAGAUUAAUGGGAGAAAUAGCUGAUCAUAUUGAUUCUCUGAUUGAAGAAUGGUAUCCAGGAUUACUAGCAACUGACAUAUUUGGAAAUAAAACUGUACAAAUACUUGCUCCAUGCCCAUAUUGUCCUGAAGAAAACAAACAUCUUUUUGACUUGGAAUAUUUAAUAGAAAAAUCAGAUACGACAAGUUUUGUGAAAUGCCCCAAUCAUGAUGGUAUCGUUUUACUGUCAUUAGUGGCACCUGAUAUUACUCUCAAUGAUCUGGAUAAAGAAUUUCACCUACAGCAAGAACAAUUUCAACUGCAAAAAAUCUCCAAAAAUUUGCUUGGUAAAGGAGAAUAUGGUGUUGUCUAUCAAGCCAGUUACCGGAAUAGUCAUGUUGCCGUGAAACUGUUUCUCAACAAUGCCAUUAACCACCCUCAUAAAAUACUGAGAAAAGAGACAACCAUACUACGCAGACUAAAACAUCCCAGUGUUGUAUGUUUGCUUGCUGUUGGACUCAAGCCACGUAUGAUGGUCAUGGAACUUGCAACUCAUGGCUCUUUGGGGCAUGCAUUGGCAUCAAAAAAAAUCGUCAGUGUCACACUCGCCCAUAGAAUAGCUUUGCAGAUUGCUGAGGGCCUCAUGUAUUUGCAUGGUCUACAAAUAAUAUAUCGAGACCUUAAACCAGCCAAUGUACUUGUAUUCAGUCUAUCAACGACAUGUCUGAUUAAUGUCAAAAUCUCUGAUUAUGGUAUUUCCCAGUUGAGUACAUUCUAUGGUCUUACAGCAAAUGAAGGCACACCUGGUUAUCAAGCACCAGAAGUAAUCAAAAAGGAAAACUACUCCUUCCAAGCUGACAUAUUUUCAUAUGGUAUUUUGUUAUACGCCCUCCUGUCUGGUGGAAAACAUCCAUAUGGCCACCUCCUUCAUCCAUCUGAAAUGGAACAAGCAAUUCUCACUGGUGAGCGCAUAUCACUGUCAUUAUGCAAUAAAUUUGGAAGCUGGCCUGAUAUGCUUGAUCUUUUGAGUCAAUGUCUCAUGUAUGUUCCAAGUAACAGACCAACUUCUAAAGAGUUAUGCACAUGCUUGAGAAACCCAGAAAUGUUGUGUUUGAAAGAUGUAAAAGCUGUUUCAAAGUCCUUUCCACCAGCUUGCAUGACUUUUCAAGUAAAAAAAUAACACAGAGGAAAAUGAGCUGUGGCUGACCUGUGAUUCAGAAACAAAAAUGGAGCUCUCUUGGAUUGAACUUAGCAAUACAGCAGUGAACCUCCAGGGUUUUAUUGUUAACAUACAGACACCUCUCUGUCUGCAUACAGCUA
rnacentral:misc_RNA from 1 species